rnacentral:rRNA from 1 species
CGCGUAGGCGGUAUUAUGCGUGUGAUGUGAAAGCCCCGGGCUUAACCUGGGAAGUGCAUCGCAAACGGUGAUACUGGAGUAGAUGAGAGGGUGGCGGAAUUUCCGGUGUAGCGGUGAAAUGCGUAGAGAUCGGAAGGAACGUCGAUGGCGAAGGCAGCCACCUGGCAUCAUACUGACGCUGAGGCGCGAAAGCGUGGGGAGCGAACAGGAUUAGAUACCCUGGUAGUCCACGCUGUAAACGAUGAGGACUAGAUGUUGGUGGGGGGAACCUAUCGGUAUCGAAGCUAACGCGAUAAGUCUUCCGCCUGGGAAGUACGGCCGCAAGGUUGAA